rnacentral:rRNA from 1 species
GGUUAAGCGACUAAGCGUACACGGUGGAUGCCCUGGCAGUCAGAGGCGAUGAAGGACGUGCUAAUCUGCGAUAAGCGUCGGUGAGGUGAUAUGAACCGUUAUAACCGGCGAUUUCCGAAUGGGGAAACCCAGUGUGUUUCGACACACUAUCAUUAACUGAAUCCAUAGGUUAAUGAGGCGAACCGGGGGAACUGAAACAUCUAAGUACCCCGAGGAAAAGAAAUCAACCGAGAUUCCCCCAGUAGCGGCGAGCGAACGGGGAGGAGCCCAGAGCCUGAAUCAGUGUGUGUGUUAGUGGAAGCGUCUGGAAAGGCGCGCGAUACAGGGUGACAGCCCCGUACACAAAAAUGCACAUGCUGUGAGCUCGAUGAGUAGGGCGGGACACGUGGUAUCCUGUCUGAAUAUGGGGGGACCAUCCUCCAAGGCUAAAUACUCCUGACUGACCGAUAGUGAACCAGUACCGUGAGGGAAAGGCGAAAAGAACCCCGGCGAGGGGAGUGAAAAAGAACCUGAAACCGUGUACGUACAAGCAGUGGGAGCCUCUUAAUGGGGUGACUGCGUACCUUUUGUAUAAUGGGUCAGCGACUUAUAUUCUGUAGCAAGGUUAACCGAAUAGGGGAGCCGAAGGGAAACCGAGUCUUAACUGGGCGUUAAGUUGCAGGGUAUAGACCCGAAACCCGGUGAUCUAGCCAUGGGCAGGUUGAAGGUUGGGUAACACUAACUGGAGGACCGAACCGACUAAUGUUGAAAAAUUAGCGGAUGACUUGUGGCUGGGGGUGAAAGGCCAAUCAAACCGGGAGAUAGCUGGUUCUCCCCGAAAGCUAUUUAGGUAGCGCCUCGUGAAUUCAUCUCCGGGGGUAGAGCACUGUUUCGGCAAGGGGGUCAUCCCGACUUACCAACCCGAUGCAAACUGCGAAUACCGGAGAAUGUUAUCACGGGAGACACACGGCGGGUGCUAACGUCCGUCGUGAAGAGGGAAACAACCCAGACCGCCAGCUAAGGUCCCAAAGUCAUGGUUAAGUGGGAAACGAUGUGGGAAGGCCCAGACAGCCAGGAUGUUGGCUUAGAAGCAGCCAUCAUUUAAAGAAAGCGUAAUAGCUCACUGGUCGAGUCGGCCUGCGCGGAAGAUGUAACGGGGCUAAACCAUGCACCGAAGCUGCGGCAGCGACACUAUGUGUUGUUGGGUAGGGGAGCGUUCUGUAAGCCUGUGAAGGUGGCCUGUGAGGGUUGCUGGAGGUAUCAGAAGUGCGAAUGCUGACAUAAGUAACGAUAAAGCGGGUGAAAAGCCCGCUCGCCGGAAGACCAAGGGUUCCUGUCCAACGUUAAUCGGGGCAGGGUGAGUCGACCCCUAAGGCGAGGCCGAAAGGCGUAGUCGAUGGGAAACAGGUUAAUAUUCCUGUACUUGGUGUUACUGCGAAGGGGGGACGGAGAAGGCUAUGUUGGCCGGGCGACGGUUGUCCCGGUUUAAGCGUGUAGGCUGGUUUUCCAGGCAAAUCCGGAAAAUCAAGGCUGAGGCGUGAUGACGAGGCACUACGGUGCUGAAGUGACAAAUGCCCUGCUUCCAGGAAAAGCCUCUAAGCAUCAGGUAACAUCAAAUCGUACCCCAAACCGACACAGGUGGUCAGGUAGAGAAUACCAAGGCGCUUGAGAGAACUCGGGUGAAGGAACUAGGCAAAAUGGUGCCGUAACUUCGGGAGAAGGCACGCUGAUAUGUAGGUGAAGCGACUUGCUCGUGGAGCUGAAAUCAGUCGAAGAUACCAGCUGGCUGCAACUGUUUAUUAAAAACACAGCACUGUGCAAACACGAAAGUGGACGUAUACGGUGUGACGCCUGCCCGGUGCCGGAAGGUUAAUUGAUGGGGUUAGCGGUAACGCGAAGCUCUUGAUCGAAGCCCCGGUAAACGGCGGCCGUAACUAUAACGGUCCUAAGGUAGCGAAAUUCCUUGUCGGGUAAGUUCCGACCUGCACGAAUGGCGUAAUGAUGGUCAGGCUGUCUCCACCCGAGACUCAGUGAAAUUGAACUCGCUGUGAAGAUGCAGUGUACCCGCGGCAAGACGGAAAGACCCCGUGAACCUUUACUAUAGCUUGACACUGAACAUUGAGCCUUGAUGUGUAGGAUAGGUGGGAGGCUUUGAAGUGUGGACGCCAGUCUGCAUGGAGCCGACCUUGAAAUACCACCCUUUAAUGUUUGAUGUUCUAACGUUGGCCCGUAAUCCGGGUUGCGGACAGUGUCUGGUGGGUAGUUUGACUGGGGCGGUCUCCUCCUAAAGAGUAACGGAGGAGCACGAAGGUUGGCUAAUCCUGGUCGGACAUCAGGAGGUUAGUGCAAUGGCAUAAGCCAGCUUGACUGCGAGCGUGACGGCGCGAGCAGGUGCGAAAGCAGGUCAUAGUGAUCCGGUGGUUCUGAAUGGAAGGGCCAUCGCUCAACGGAUAAAAGGUACUCCGGGGAUAACAGGCUGAUACCGCCCAAGAGUUCAUAUCGACGGCGGUGUUUGGCACCUCGAUGUCGGCUCAUCACAUCCUGGGGCUGAAGUAGGUCCCAAGGGUAUGGCUGUUCGCCAUUUAAAGUGGUACGCGAGCUGGGUUUAGAACGUCGUGAGACAGUUCGGUCCCUAUCUGCCGUGGGCGCUGGAGAACUGAGGGGGGCUGCUCCUAGUACGAGAGGACCGGAGUGGACGCAUCACUGGUGUUCGGGUUGUCAUGCCAAUGGCACUGCCCGGUAGCUAAAUGCGGAAGAGAUAAGUGCUGAAAGCAUCUAAGCACGAAACUUGCCCCGAGAUGAGUUCUCCCUGACUCCUUGAGAGUCCUGAAGGAACGUUGAAGACGACGACGUUGAUAGGCCGGGUGUGUAAGCGCAGCGAUGCGUUGAGCUAACCGGUACUAAUGAACCGUGAGGCUUAACCUU